CACGUAGGAGACGAGCGUUAUCCGGAUUUACUGGGUGUAAAGCGCGUGCAGGCGGUAUGGUAAGUUGGAUGUGAAAGCUCCCGGCUUAACUGGGAGAGGUCGUACAAGACUGCCAAACUAGAGGACAGCAGAGGGGAGUGGAAUUCCGAGUGUAGCGGUAAAAUGCAUAGAUAUUCGGAAGAACACCAGUGGCGAAGGCGGCUCUCUGGGCUGUACCUGACGCUCAGACGCGAAAGCUAGGGUAGCAAACGGGAUUAGAGACCCCGGUAGUCCUAGCCGUAAACGAUGUGAACUUGGCGUAGGUGGGUUCAAAUCCAUCUGUGCCGCAGCAAACGCGAUAAGUUCACCACCUGGGGACUACGGCCGCAAGGUUAAA
rnacentral:rRNA from 1 species